rnacentral:rRNA from 1 species
UACGGGGGGAGCAAGCGUUGUUCGGAAUUACUGGGCGUAAAGGGCGCGUAGGCGGCCCGCUAAGUCGAACGUGAAAUCCCCGAGCUCAACUCGGGAACUGCGUCCGAUACUGGUGGGCUUGAAUCCGGGAGAGGGAUGCGGAAUUCCAGGUGUAGCGGUGAAAUGCGUAGAUAUCUGGAGGAACACCGGUGGCGAAGGCGGCAUCCUGGACCAAUAUUGACGCUGAGGAGCGAAAGCCAGGGGAGCAAACGGG